UACAGAGGGUGUGAGCGUUAAUCGGAAUUACUGGGCGUAAAGCGUGCGCAGGCGGUUUUGUAAGACAGAGGUGAAAUCCCCGGGCUCAACCUGGGAACUGCCUUUGUGACUGCAAGGCUAGAGUACGGCAGAGGGGGGGUGGAAUUCCGCGUGUAGCAGUGAAAUGCGUAGAUAUGCGGAGGAACACCGAUGGCGAAGGCAACCCCCUGGGCCUGUACUGACGCUCAUGCACGAAAGCGUGGGGAGCAAAUAGG
rnacentral:rRNA from 1 species